rnacentral:rRNA from 1 species
UGAGGAAUAUUGGACAAUGGGUGAAAGCCUGAUCCAGCCAUCCCGCGUGAAGGAUGACGGUCCUAUGGAUUGUAAACUUCUUUUGUACAGGAAUAAACCUACUCUCGUGAGAGUAGCUGAAGGUACUGUACGAAUAAGCACCGGCUAACUCCGUGCCAGCAGCCGCGGUAAUACGGAGGGUGCAAGCGUUAUCCGGAUUUAUUGGGUUUAAAGGGUCCGUAGGCGGACCCGUAAGUCAGUGGUGAAAUCUCAUAGCUCAACUAUGAAACUGCCAUUGAUACUGCGGGUCUUGAGUAAAUUUGAAGUGGCUGGAAUAAGUAGUGUAGCGGUGAAAUGCAUAGAUAUUACUUAGAACACCAAUUGCGAAGGCAGGUCACUAAGAUUUAACUGACGCUGAGGGACGAAAGCGUGGGUAGCGAACAGG